rnacentral:rRNA from 1 species
CUGCGGCAGCGAACGUAUCACCCAAGACAACUUUACGGAGUUGACGAUUGAUGGAGCGAAGCGACGUCAAAGCGUUCAUUAAAGUCGAGUUGGCUUAGGGAUACGUUCGUUGGGUAGGGGAGCGUUCUGUAAGCCUGUGAAGGUGGCCUGUGAGGGUUGCUGGAGGUAUCAGAAGUGCGAAUGCUGACAUAAGUAACGAUAAAGCGGGUGAAAAGCCCGCUCGCCGGAAGACCAAGGGUUCCUGUCCAACGUUAAUCGGGGCAGGGUGAGUCGACCCCUAAGGCGAGGCCGAAAGGCGUAGUCGAUGGGAAACGGGUUAAUAUUCCCGUACUUGGUGUUACUGCGAAGGGGGGACGGAGAAGGCUAUGUUGGCCGGGCGACGGUUGUCCCGGUUUAAGCGUGUAGGUGUGUGUUCCAGGUAAAUCCGGUUCACUUUAACACUGAGGCGUGAUGACGAGGCACUAUGGUGCUGAAGCAACAAAUGCCCUGCUUCCAGGAAAAGCCUCUAAGCAUCAGGUAACAUCAAAUCGUACCCCAAACCGACACAGGUGGUCAGGUAGAGAAUACCAAGGCGCUUGAGAGAACUCGGGUGAAGGAACUAGGCAAAAUGGUGCCGUAACUUCGGGAGAAGGCACGCUGACACGUAGGUGAAGUGAUUUACUCAUGGAGCUGAAGUCAGUCGAAGAUACCAGCUGGCUGCAACUGUUUAUUAAAAACACAGCACUGUGCAAACACGAAAGUGGACGUAUACGGUGUGACGCCUGCCCGGUGCCGGAAGGUUAAUUGAUGGGGUCAGCGCAAGCGAAGCUCCUGAUCGAAGCCCCGGUAAACGGCGGCCGUAACUAUAACGGUCCUAAGGUAGCGAAAUUCCUUGUCGGGUAAGUUCCGACCUGCACGAAUGGCGUAAUGAUGGCCAGGCUGUCUCCACCCGAGACUCAGUGAAAUUGAACUCGCUGUGAAGAUGCAGUGUACCCGCGGCAAGACGGAAAGACCCCGUGAACCUUUACUAUAGCUUGACACUGAACAUUGAGCCUUGAUGUGUAG